rnacentral:rRNA from 1 species
CCUACGGGUGGCAGCAGUGAGGAAUAUUGGUCAAUGGACGGAAGUCUGAACCAGCCAUGUCGCGUGCAGGAAGACGGCGCUAUGAGUUGUAAACUGCUUUUGUACAAGGGUAAACCUGAAUACGUGUAUGCAGCUGAAAGUACGGUACGAAUAAGGAUCGGCUAACUCCGUGCCAGCAGCCGCGGUAAUACGGAGGAUCCAAGCGUUAUCCGGAUUUAUUGGGUUUACAGGGUGCGUAGGCGGAUUGAUGAGUUAGAGGUGAAAUGUCCGAGCUUAACUCGGGAACUGCCUCUAAUACGGUUGAUCUAGAGCGUAGAUGCGUUAGUCGGAAUGUUUGGUGUAGCG